UUAGCUCAUAUUUGUAUGGAAUGGGAUCAUUUGCCUACGUUUGCCGCUAGGGGCGCUGUUCCAGCUGCAUACAAAAUUGGGCUA
rfam:Bombyx mori DNA, contig: Bm_scaf36_contig21644, strain: p50T/Dazao, build 2, whole genome shotgun sequence.